rnacentral:rRNA from 1 species
CACGGCCUAACACAUGCAAGUCGGACGGUAGCACAGAGGAGCUAGCUCCUUGGGUGACGAGUGGCGGACGGGUGAGUAAUGUCUGGGGAUCUGCCCGAUAGAGGGGGAUAACCACUGGAAACGGUGGCUAAUACCGCAUAACGUCGCAAGACCAAAGAGGGGGACCUUCGGGCCUCUCACUAUCGGAUGAACCCAGAUGGGAUUAGCUAGUAGGCGGGGUAAUGGCCCACCUAGGCGACGAUCCCUAGCUGGUCUGAGAGGAUGACCAGCCACACUGGAACUGAGACACGGUCCAGACUCCUACGGGAGGCAGCAGUGGGGAAUAUUGGACAAUGGGCGCAAGCCUGAUCCAGCCAUGCCGCGUGAGUGAUGACGGCCCUAGGGUUGUAAAGCUCUUUUACCUGGGAUGAUAAUGACUGUACCGGGAGAAUAAGCCCCGGCUAACUCCGUGCCAGCAGCCGCGGUAAU